GGGGUCGUAGCUCAAUGGUAGAGCCUGAGUUUUCCAAACUUAUGACGCGGGUUCGAUUCCCGUCGACCCCUCCA
rnacentral:tRNA from 2 species